CUGGCGCUGCGGCGGCGGCGGCGGCGGGCGGGGGCGGCUCAGUGGUGGGCGCCUAUGAUAGCCUUCCGAAAUGAGGGGUGCUCAGAGAGAAAACAAUACCAAACAAUCUCGAAAUAAACCAGAUGCAUAGGGAGUCCCUGACCCCGUGACGUUUGGGAACAAGUGGAACUCGUGCAGAGGCAUCCAGGUAUUUCCAGAGACUGACGAGCGAGGUCUGCAAUCGCUUCCUAACAGCAGAUUAGCUCUAAUAGAUACAACUGGCCAAAUGGAAUACGUUUGUCCUUUCCUAUAGGGCAGAACUAUCAAUCACAAUGAAGCAAGUACAAUCCCCUGGUCUUCUCUUCUCUACCGGUCUGUUUGAAAUCAAUGUGGAUAAUCUCAAAAUAACAGUGCCUCUCUUACUGUAAGCAUUUUAGAUGUGUCAUCAUAU